rnacentral:lncRNA from 1 species
GAACUUUGGAGAUUGAAUGUAAAUCAACACAUGUUGUGUUCAAUUACUUUUUUUUUUUUUUUUUUUUGCUCUCCCAUGGUUUUUCCCCUCUUUUAACUUUUCUCUCCCAACAUGAUUCAUAAAGCAAUGUGUACUAAAAAUUAAUUUUAAAAAAUUAAGUAUAGAAAUACCACAGUGUUCUAGGUAACAUCUAGAAUUAGUUAAAUUUUAUUGGUUAGGCCUCUACCCUUGAAAAUAUGCCUUCCUCUUAAGGCACAUUUUCAGAUUCUUAUUCUUCAAAAUACUGGUAAUUCUCGACUUCCAAAAUAAUAAUCUCAUCAGUUGUCUAUUAGAAACUUGAGGGGAUUUUUUUCUUUCUUUUUGGAAAAAGACAAUCCUUGAUAUUUCUCACCUUUGUUCACUUUUCUUCUAUGUUUUUCAUUGACUUGACUUUUAUGUGUUAUGAACUCCAUAUAAUUUGUUUCAUUAGGGGUUGAGAGUUAACCCCUAUUCAUCUAAUCCCUGAUGUCCUCUCUCUACCCUCCCACAUUGCUACUGUUUUAUAAAGGAAUGAGGAAUCAUGCUAAGUCGGUUUUGCUUCUACAACAAAGUAUCUCUGGGUCAGUAACUACCAGAGUGGGGAGAAAAGACAUAUUUGUAGUAAAAAGCCCUUUUAUAAUCUCCCAAAAUUCCAAAAUCCAAAAAAAUUAGUCCUCAAUGACUUGAAGGUUUACUGAUAGCAACAUUAAAUUGUUUCCUCUGUUUCACCUAAUUCCUAUAGGGUCACAUAAUCUUAGAUUGAAAGGAACUUUUGAGGUCAUCUAGUGCAUGAAUCCCAUCCUUGCCCCCAAACUCAUACUUACACACACAUUCUCAGAAUCACAGAAUUUGUUUCCUUGCUUUUUCCAAUGACAGAAAAUGUGUCACCUCAUAAGGCAGCUCAUUCCCUGAGAUAAUAUCAUCAAAACUAUAUCCACCCUACCCUUAUCAUAGGUCUGACAAGAUACACUAAAUAAUGAUAUAAAAGAGGAUGGAACUAUUAAAUCUCUUCUUUUUUUAAAAAUUCAGCUUUUACCCCUAAAAGUACUGACUGGAUAUGUCUAUUCCUGAGAACAAAGAUUGGACAAACCAAAAUGCAGAAAGGAUCUAAAUAAAAUUAUUUUAUGCUUGAAACAAUUUUCUGGAAAACAGGAAGCAUUAAAAUUAUGGCCAUAUCAUUUGCAUGAUCCAUUUGUCUAGUUUUUAACAGUCUUGGUUAGUUCUCCAUCUCUGUGAUCACUACAUAUAU